rnacentral:lncRNA from 1 species
UACAAAAUAUUAAGAUUUUAGCAAAUCGGGCGGAAAAGUGUCCUAGUGGAAUUUGCAAAAUCUGGAUUGGACCAUCUUUAUAUGUGGUGGUAACCAAUCCUCAAGAUGUGCAGAUAGUCCUGGACAGCUGCUUAGAAAAGGACUACACGUACAAAUUUUUGCGAGCAUGGCUUGGCAAUGGACUGUUCGUUGCUCCAUUGGACUUAUGGAAAUCCCACCGCCGCGUGAUUCUGCCGAUUUUCCAAAACCGUUUGAUCGAGGAUUUCAUAGAGAACUUUGGGAAACAAGGUUCGAUUCUUGUGCAGCGGCUGGAGAACGAAGUGGGAAAAUCAGAGUUCGAUGUGUUUAAAUAUAUUACGUCCUGCAUGUUGGAUAUUG